UUUUUUUUUUCUUUUUUGGCCGCACCCUUGGCCAUAUUGGAAGCUCCUGGGCCAGGGAUCAAAUCUGAGCCUCGUCUGAGUCCUACACCACAGCUGGGGCAAUGUCAGCUCCUUAACCCACUGUGCUGGGCCAGGGAUAGAACCAGCAAUGCCACGGAGAUGCGCCAGAUCAUUGACCCACCAGGCGCCACAGCUGGAAUCCAAGUUUAGCAUUUGUUCAUCUCUGUUUAUCUAAUUCAAACUCCUUGCCCCAUCUGGAGCAGAAAGGAGGACAUGUGGAUAGCUGCCUCCAAGCCCCACCGUCCUGGGAGUGACAAAUGUGGGGUCCCAAAGAAGGGCAAUGAAUCCUGGCUCCGUGCCCCCGGUGGCACAGGGCAGGGGGCAGGGUGACAGUGAGGCCCCACAGGUGGGCUUGGGGCUGCCACCUCCAGAGAAGAAUGGGGACGGGGGGGGAGGGGGCUGUGCAUAGUGACCAGGGCAGAUGGAGUGACGCCCCAAAGCUUUCAGUCACCAGACCCCUGCAGUUCUUCCCAUCCCUCUCCUCACCACCGAGAGUGCUCUCUGGACUGAGGGGCUGAGGAGAAGUUCACUGGUCCCCAGCUCUUGCUGCUUAUGGGAUGAAGCCACAAUUGCUCAGGAGGGGAGUGUAAUCCUAGGAGCUCCCAAAGAAUGAGAGGUGACUGGGACCCUCACUGCCACUGUGCACCAGGCCCUCAGACCAGUGCCUCAAAUAAACACUACCCCCGUUGACCCUCAAGAGCACUCCUAUGAGUUAGGCACUUUCGUGCCUGACAGAUGGGCUUCUGAGGCUCAGAGAGCUUGGCAGCAUGCCCAAGGUCGCACAGGUGGUAGGUGGUGAUUCAAAGCCAGGUCUGCUUGGAGUUCCAUGGCUGUGGAGUCUUUCCUGGGUACAGGGCUGAUGUCGACCAGAACUUGUAUCCCCUACCCUAUGAAAGCAGCAUAGUUCCUCCACAUUCUCACCCAACUCCAAACUCUAGGUCCCUCCAGGUCCCAUGGCAUCUUUGCACCUAUAAAGGGAGCCCAGGACCCCCUUGAGGCCCCUAGAAGACAGGUAUUUGAAAGCACAGCUUUCUGGAUCAGCCUGCGACGGGCUGGGUAAGAAGAGUAGAGCAGCAAGGCUGUCCCGCUUUCAUGCGGAGCCUCUAGAUCAGGGUGAUGCCCAAAGGAGGUAGACAGCCUACGAACAAGCAAGACAGUAACUUCGCUUGGUGACUUCAAGGAAGAAUUGGCCUCGUGUUGGAUGGUAUCAUUGAGCUAUGUUUAUUCAUACGUGGCUUUCCCAAGCCAGGGACCACGAGGGCGUUAGGGGUCUGGGGACCAACCUGUAGGCCUCUCUGCCUUCAGGCAGUACCACCCAUCCCAUCUCCUACCCCAGCCUGUAGGGGCUGGAAGGCUCCAGGCCAGGGCUAGGAUUGGGGCUGGAAAGGAGAGAGAAUUAUCUGGGCAAAAUCUCCGCCUCCCACAAUGGAUACUGCGAUCCUGGUGCAGUUUGGCAAGUCUUAACACAGGCCUGGUGUGCCUCGCCUCUCAGCAAGGGCCUUGGGGCAGCCCCACAGAAGGGGAACCCCCCCCCUACCCCUGGGCUGCAGGUCAGGACCCAGGAGACAGGUCACAGGGGAGGAUGAAUCUUAAUGAAGGCCUGAAAGUGUGUGCGCUAAAGCCCACCUGCCCCAGACAAGCACGGUGUGCCUCUACUCUGACCGCCUCUGAGCCUGGAGAGGGGGCUGGUGGGGGGCAACGUCCUCAAUCUGCCUGAGGUUUCCCCGGGGACCUCCCAUAAUCCUCUUCUGCCCUUUCUCCCCACCCGGGCUGCUCAGCCCUGCCUGCCGCAUCUGUGGCCUAACAGUUGUGGGGGUGGGCAGAGACCAGCCCGGAUGCCUCCAGCUUCUUAGCAGCUGUGAGCUCUCUCUGAUGCCUGCUGGUUUCAAGCCUUUUCUUCUGGAAUGUUCAUCUUUGUCCACUGACAACACCUCCAUCGACUGGGAGUGCCGAGAGGCCAAGAACUUCCAAGGAGGCAGAAUGCCUUGGAUCCCCAGACGGGAGGCCACCACAAACCCUCACCUGUGCUUUGUUUAGGCCGUUUUUCUGGUGGAAAAAAAAACAUUAUUGAGAGAUGCGGGAGGGCCCUCGAGACUCUAGGGGCGCCUUUAUUUGCCUGUUGGAACACAGUUGGAGCUGGUGGGGAUUGCCAGGGAGAAGAGGUCCCCCCUUCUGAGACUUCAUGGCAGAGUAGGGUGCGGAGCUGUUGUGGACGACAGUCCUGGGCUCUCCGGAGCUGCCAUGCCCCACAGGGAGCCGCUAGUCCCCACCUCCCCAGUGGCUCCUGUACUGUGCACGUAGCCCCAUUUUCCAGGACUCUGGACCCCCCCCGCUGGCUGGGGUGCUUGUUAACAUGGCACAACCCUGGGUCACCCUUGACAUUCUGCUCACAGAGGAGAGGAAGGACAGGGAACCUUGCUAUCAGGCCUCUCUGUCCCCGGUGACUCUUGUUUCUCAAUUUAAGAACCUUUGUGCUCAGGCCAGACCCCCACCAGGGGCAGCGCUGCACAAAGAGCCCUUUUCCUCCUCCAGCGCAGCUCCCAGCCCCCAGGCUGUGGUGUUAACGCCCGACCUUCAGGAACAGCAGCAUUUCUCAGCCUCUUGGUGCCCUCUGCGAAGCGGAGCAAUGAGUGGCCAGGCCAAGAAGCUGCCUGUCCCGGCAGGAGCUGCUCCCCAGAGCCCUCCUGCCUGGACCUUGCCCUGUGGGCCUCUGGCCAGGGUGACAGCAUGGGAAAACCCCAUGGGAGCCACAGAGGCGGAGGUGGGGAGGUGCCACCAGGGCUGGGAAUGCGGCUGCCCGGGGGCGGAGGCCUCAGCCUCCCCCCGCCACCGGGUGUCCACUGCGCCCCAUUCCAGCGCGCCCACCUCCUCCUGUUUCCUCCUGGGCGCUCUGAGCCAGGGAGGCCUCCCCCACCCCCGCCCCAGGCAGCCUACAAAUUUGAAUUCAUCUUUCAAAACCAACCUCAGGCACAGGGAACCAGAGUUGAGAUUUUGUAAUAACCUGUAAAGGAAGAGAAUCCGAAAAAAUAUACAUUUGUGUAUAACUGAAUCACUCUGCUGUACCCCUGAAACCAAAACGACAUUCAAUAUAAAUCAACUCUACGUCAAUUAAAAUAAAAUAAAGCCACCAACCUCAGCUCCCUCAGCUUUUCUAUGAAUUCUCGUGCCCCUCUGAGCACUGAUGUCCCCUUCCUGUGGUCCCCGAGAGGAAGCACAUCCCUCAUGUCCCCCGCCUCCCCCGUCAGCAGGCAGAGCGCCCUGUAGGCCUCGCCUCAGUGAGCAGCCGCAACU
rnacentral:lncRNA from 1 species